rnacentral:rRNA from 1 species
UACGGAGGGUGCAAGCGUUAAUCGGAAUUACUGGGCGUAAAGCGUGCGUAGGCGGUUCGUUAAGUCUGUUGUGAAAGCCCCGGGCUCAACCUGGGAAUGGCAAUGGAUACUGGCGAGCUAGAGUGUGUCAGAGGAUGGUGGAAUUCCCGGUGUAGCGGUGAAAUGCGCAGAUAUCAGGAAGAACACCCGUGGCGAAGGCGGCUCUCUGGGACGGUACUGACGCUGAGACGCGAAAGCGUGGGGAGCGAACAGG